rnacentral:rRNA from 1 species
CGAAAGCCUGACGGAGCAACGCCGCGUGAGGGAUGAAGGCCUCUGGGCUGUAAACCUCUUUUAUCGAGGAAGAAGAUCUGACGGUACUUGAUGAAUAAGCCACGGCUAAUUCCGUGCCAGCAGCCGCGGUAAUACGGGAGUGGCAAGCGUUAUCCGGAAUUAUUGGGCGUAAAGCGUCCGCAGGCGGUCUUUUAAGUCUGUCGUUAAAGCGUGGAGCUUAACUCCAUUUGAGCGAUGGAAACUGCAAGACUAGAGUGUGGUAGGGGCAGAGGGAAUUCCCGGUGUAGCGGUGAAAUGCGUAGAUAUCGGGAAGAACACCAGUGGCGAAGGCGCUCUGCUGGGCCAUAACUGACGCUCAUGGACGAAAGCCAGGGGAGCG